rnacentral:rRNA from 1 species
CAGUCGCCACGGGAAUACGUAGGUGGCAAGCGUUGUCCGGAAUUAUUGGGCGUAAAGGGCUCGCAGGCGGUUUCUUAAGCCUGAUGUGAAAGCCCCCGGCUCAACCGGGGAGGGUCAUUAGAAACUGGGAAACUUGAGUGCAGAAGAGGAGAGUGGAAUUCCACGUGUAGCGGUGAAAUGCGUAGAGAUGUGGAGGAACACCAGUGGCGAAGGCGACUCUCUGGUCUGUAACUGACGCUGAGGAGCGAAAGCGUGGGGAGCGAACAGGAUUAGAUACCCCUGUAGUCCCUGUCUCUUAUAA